rnacentral:tRNA from 1 species
GGGGUUGUGGCUCAGUGGCAGAGCGCUUGCCUGGCACGCAUGGGGUUCUGGGUUCGAUCCUUGGCACCA